GGUACGUUUCAUUACCGGAUCGCAGGCGUACGGCGAACCUUUCCACACACCGGCUUCACAGGUUCACUUGGCAAUGACAGGUACUUCUGCGACUGCUGUAAUACCGGAGAAGCAUGGAUGGACACCUUUGCUGUAGUUCUGUGAGCCAGAUAUCUGCUCUGUGUGAAAACGCCAGGUACCCACACUUCAACGAGCUUUGCGUUCAGAGAGAGCUACUGGUAGUCUACACGCCUCGUGUUGCCGAUACGAUCACCGGAUGCGGCUUCUGUAUUCAAGGGACAACAGAUUCAGUGGUGCACAAACUUUUAAGCUAUAUCCUCCGAAGUACAGCCUACCCCCGUUUGUGCGGACCACAGUUCCCGACGGAAAUGCCCCGACAGCGGGGAUCCGUAUCAAGUCCGGAUAAAAGGGGGUGGACUAAGCACGUAAUAAUUUCACGUGCACCGGUGUAGUUUUGAAGAGCUUUCUUGUUCUAACAACAGACUUAGUUCGUGAUCAGAGCUACACCGUGUACACGCUAUAUAUGCCGUGUAAUUUUUAUGGUAGUAGUGUACAUGCAGUAUAAUUUUCUCUCACUCUUUGUCUGUUCCAAAACAGAUGCCUGCUACUUACAGCAUAUUAGUCAUUGAAAGCUGGGCCCCAGAAACAGUCUCCAAAUUCCAGUGUGUGCUUUACACCUAAUCAGAGGACACUAUACAGUCACAGUCAUAUUAUGGAUAUUGUUAUAUUAACAUCAGUAAGUUUCAGGUUAGGGAAUGUACUUUGUACAUAAAAUACAAGCCAGGAAAGCGGCGUAGCUGAGACCUCCUGUUGGGUGCCACCACUGUUGGUGAAUGUUCCAGAGCUCUCAUGACUUCAGCAUUGUUGCAGGUUCUCCAAGACUUCUUCUGAAAAAAAAUAAAUAAAUAAAAACAGAUUUAAAUUA